CCUACGGGAGACAGCAGUGAGGAAUAUUGGUCAAUGGACGAGAGUCUGAACCAGCCAAGUAGCGUGAAGGAUGACUGCCCUAUGGGUUGUAAACUUCUUUUAUAUGGGAAUAAAAUGUUCCACGUGUGGGAUUUUGUAUGUACCAUAUGAAUAAGGCUCGGCUAACUCCGUGCCAGCAGCCGCGGUAAUACGGAGGAUCCGGGCGUUAUCCGGAUUUAUUGGGUUUAAAGGGAGCGUAGGUGGAUUGUUAAGUCAGUUGUGAAAGUUUGCGGCUCAACCGUAAAAUUGCAGUUGAAACUGGCAGUCUUGAGUACAGUAGAGGUGGGCGGAAUUCGUGGUGUAGCGGUGAAAUGCUUAGAUAUCACGAAGAACUCCGAUUGCGAAGGCAGUUCACUGGACUGCAACUGACACUGAGGCUCGAAAGUGUGGGUAUCAAACAGGAUUAGAUACCCUAGUAGUC
rnacentral:rRNA from 1 species